UACGAAGGGUGCAAGCGUUACUCGGAAUUACUGGGCGUAAAGCGUGCGUAGGUGGUUUGUUAAGUCUGCUGUGAAAUCCCCGGGCUCAACCUGGGAAUGGCCGUUGAAACUGGCGAACUGGAGUGUGGCAGAGGGGGGUGGAAUUCCGCGUGUAGCAGUGAAAUGCGUAGAGAUGCGGAGGAACACCGAUGGCGAAGGCAGCCCCCUGGGCUGACACUGACGCUCAGGCACGAAAGCGUGGGGAGCAAACAGG
rnacentral:rRNA from 1 species